GACGAACGCUGGCGGCGUGCCUAAUACAUGCAAGUAGAACGCACAGUUUAUACCGUAGCUUGCUACACCAUAGACUGUGAGUUGCGAACGGGUGAGUAACGCGUAGGUAACCUGCCUGGUAGCGGGGGAUAACUAUUGGAAACGAUAGCUAAUACCGCAUAAUAUUAAUUAUUGCAUGAUAAUUAAUUGAAAGGUGCAAUUGCACCACUACCAGAUGGACCUGCGUUGUAUUAGCUAGUAGGUGAGGUAACGGCUCACCUAGGCGACGAUACAUAGCCGACCUGAGAGGGUGAUCGGCCACACUGGGACUGAGACACGGCCCAGACUCCUACGGGAGGCAGCAGUAGGGAAUCUUCGGCAAUGGACGAAAGUCUGACCGAGCAACGCCGCGUGAGUGAAGAAGGUUUUCGGAUCGUAAAGCUCUGUUGUAAGAGAAGAACGGGUGUGAGAGUGGAAGUUCACACUGUGACGGUAUCUUACCAGAAAGGGACGGCUAACUACGUG
rnacentral:rRNA from 1 species